rnacentral:rRNA from 1 species
GGUUGUCCCGGUUUAAGCGUGUAGGCUGGUUUUCCAGGCAAAUCCGGAAAACCAAGGCUGAGGCGUGAUGACGAGGCACUACGGUGCUGAAGCGACAAAUGCCCUGCUUCCAGGAAAAGCCUCUAAGCAUCAGGUAACAUCAAAUCGUACCCCAAACCGACACAGGUGGUCAGGUAGAGAAUACCAAGGCGCUUGAGAGAACUCGGGUGAAGGAACUAGGCAAAAUGGUGCCGUAACUUCGGGAGAAGGCACGCUGAUAUGUAGGUGAAGCGACUUGCUCGUGGAGCUGAAAUCAGUCGAAGAUACCAGCUGGCUGCAACUGUUUAUUAAAAACACAGCACUGUGCAAACACGAAAGUGGACGUAUACGGUGUGACGCCUGCCCGGUGCCGGAAGGUUAAUUGAUGGGGUUAGCGGCAACGCGAAGCUCUUGAUCGAAGCCCCGGUAAACGGCGGCCGUAACUAUAACGGUCCUAAGGUAGCGAAAUUCCUUGUCGGGUAAGUUCCGACCUGCACGAAUGGCGUAAUGAUGGCCAGGCUGUCUCCACCCGAGACUCAGUGAAAUUGAACUCGCUGUGAAGAUGCAGUGUACCCGCGGCAAGACGGAAAGACCCCGUGAACCUUUACUAUAGCUUGACACUGAACAUUGAGCCUUGAUGUGUAGGAUAGGUGGGAGGCUUUGAAGUGUGGACGCCAGUCUGCAUGGAGCCGACCUUGAAAUACCACCCUUUAAUGUUUGAUGUUCUAACGUUGGCCCGUAAUCCGGGUUGCGGACAGUGUCUGGUGGGUAGUUUGACUGGGGCGGUCUCCUCCUAAAGAGUAACGGAGGAGCACGAAGGUUGGCUAAUCCUGGUCGGACAUCAGGAGGUUAGUGCAAUGGCAUAAGCCAGCUUGACUGCGAGCGUGACGGCGCGAGCAGGUGCGAAAGCAGGUCAUAGUGAUCCGGUGGUUCUGAAUGGAAGGGCCAUCGCUCAACGGAUAAAAGGUACUCCGGGGAUAACAGGCUGAUACCGCCCAAGAGUUCAUAUCGACGGCGGUGUUUGGCACCUCGAUGUCGGCUCAUCACAUCCUGGGGCUGAAGUAGGUCCCAAGGGUAUGGCUGUUCGCCAUUUAAAGUGGUACGCGAGCUGGGUUUAGAACGUCGUGAGACAGUUCGGUCCCUAUCUGCCGUGGGCGCUGGAGAACUGAGGGGGGCUGCUCCUAGUACGAGAGGACCGGAGUGGACGCAUCACUGGUGUUCGGGUUGUCAUGCCAAUGGCACUGCCCGGUAGCUAAAUGCGGAAGAGAUAAGUGCUGAAAGCAUCUAAGCACGAAACUUGCCCCGAGAUGAGUUCUCCCUGACUCCUUGAGAGUCCUGAAGGAACGUUGAAGACGACGACGUUGAUAGGCCGGGUGUGUAAGCGCAGCGAUGCGUUGAGCUAACCGGUACUAAUGAACCGUGAGGCUUAACCUU